rnacentral:misc_RNA from 1 species
GAUGCAUAUUCCAAUGUCAAUAGUUGAGCAAAAUUUACCAUUAAAUGGCAUGCCUUCCCCUCAGUGAAUUUUAUUCAUCUUUCAGCCAAAAAUUAUAUACGUUUUGAAAUUCAUGAUGGGAUGCCAUGUACAAAUUCACAAAGCAUAUCUCUUCAACUAGAAAAAUCACUUUAUCUAGCGAAUUUUACCUUAUACUGUAUUUCUCACAUUUUUACCAUGGACCCUCAU